AUCUUGUGUUCUUUGCCAACACUUGCUGGUUGAGUCAUGGAGGAAGAGCUUUACAAAAUCUGCAGUUCUGUUAACUCCAUUCAAGAUUUCUUGAAAUGAAAGCAAUGCUUGCCAAAUACUCAAUAAUCUGGGACAAAAAUGGCAAUGUGAUUUACAUUUUCUCAUCAAUAUCACAUUGCAUACACGUUAAGCUAAAUUUGAGGCUCUAAAGAAGGGAGGAGCUCAUUUUUAAUGUAGCUAGAUAGCAAUGAAAAUUUAUUUUGAAAUAGGAACUCUUCAUAAUACAGAUCAAUAAUGAUUUUAUGCAACUUUCUAAUAGGAAUCAAUGUGUAGAACAUUUUAAUUAUUAUCAACAGGAUUAUAUGAAUUUGCUAUAAAGCCAGCAAGAAAAAUUUGAGCAGUACUUUUUUGCUAUUUAUAAAGUUAGAGUUGCUUUUCAAUUCAUACGCUAUCUCUGAAUUUGGUGUUAAUGCUGAAUUGACAUGAAAGUUGCUUAAUUUACUUAUUUUGGUCAUACGUACUUUUGAAGUGUUGUUUGGAAAUCGAUAAGCUCUUGCUUUGCAGCCAAAUCUAUUAUUCUAACAAAAAUGAACAAGUUUUAUUAAUAUUAUUAUAGAAUCAAAGGAAAAUGAUUUCUUGAUACCCACUUCAGUUAUUAGGAAACUUUUAAGUGUCUUUGGAAUAACUUGGAAAUGUGAUUCUACUUUUCUUUCUGUAAAUUCUUUGACAUAUAAACACAGAUCAACUAUAUCUGAUAAAAAUGUAGCAUCUAUAUUAAGAUGUGCAACAAGUAUAAAAAUACAUAGUGGAUUAUGAAGACUUAGUAAAAAAAUGUGAACUAUCUUCUUAAUGAUUUUUCUAUUGAUUAGAUUUGCAUUGAUAAUUUUUGGAUCUUUUGGAUAUCUGGUUGAAUAAAAUAUGUUAUUAAAAUUAAUUGCCUCUUGGUUGUUUCCAUUGUGGCUUAGUGGGUUAAGUACCCAGCAUAGUGUCCAUGAGGUUAUGGGUUUAAUCCCUGGCCUCGCUCGAUGGGUUAAGGAUCUGGAGGAUCUGGUGUUGGUGCAACCUGUAGUAUAGAUCAUAGAUUCAGCUUGGAUCCAGCAUUGCUGUGACUGUGGUGUAGGCUUGGCAGCUACAGCCCCGAUUCGACCCCUAUCCUGGGAACCUCCAUA
rnacentral:lncRNA from 1 species